UUAAUAAAAUUUCAACGUUUGUUUGAUACACCACGAAUUUCACUGAUAAACAAAAGUUCAAAACAAGACUGGAAGUAUAUAAAAUGUUAGUGCUUACUACUGUCAAAAUAUGUAUUCCGCACAGUCUUGCUAACUUGAAAAAUAACGCAUUUUACGGGCAUCGAAUCUAUAGCAAUUGGUAAUAUAAGUCUUCACUAGAAUAAACAUUAGCAUUUACCUUUUUUGGAUCAUCAGCAAAUAGUUGAUUAUUGCAGAAACUAAAACAUGGACUUAUAUUCAUGAUGGAGGUGGCAAAAAAUAGAGGUGAGAGAUAUUCACCCCAAGAAGCACUGGAAGGAGAAGGAUAUUUAGGUUCUAAUAAAUGAAGGAAUUUAACAUAAUAAUUGUCAAAAUUAAUGGUCAGGUAAAUUCAAUAAAAAUUUAACGGUCUGCUGUACAGUGACUAUCGUGUGGACCUCGGUCAUAGAAUGACACCUUGUGCAUAUGUGAAGAAGUACAGACAAUGCAACACAUUAUCUCAUGCACAGAUUGCUCACAAACUUGUACCCCAGAAGACAUUCACAAAGGCACAAGCCAAGGAAUUAACGUAGCCCGCAUCUGGGCAGAAAUAAUAUAAAUCCACCAAUAACCUUAUUUAUUAAUAUUGUGUAAUGUUUAUUUUAAAGUUAUUUUAUUU